GCUGACAGGAAGCCCUUUUGAAGCUGUCACCUCACUUAAUGGCAUCAGCUGAUUGCUAUGUGGGCCCUGUGCAUCUGCCAAAAUUGCCUGAGGGGUGGUGGUGGGAGAGGUCAGAAUCUGGAAAAGGUGACCCACCCCUGUUGUAGAGGUGCUGUUUUUUCCUUAUGUUGUGUGAAAGACAGAAAAGCAAUUUUAAAUGUACUUGUACAGUAUUUGAUUUUUAAAGUGAUUAGUGACUGUGCAGGAAGGCAUUUAUAGCCACAUUUCAUUCUUCUUGCAUUUUUGUGCCACUUGCAAACAUGUUAUGUAUCUGAAUCUCAAUUUAUAGUCCACCCACCAUUUUUCUUGUAUUGAACUACAGUGUAUGUAUUUGGGAAUGUUUUCCUCUCUAUGGAAGUGAGUUUUAUAGAGGCAGAUUUCCCUUUACCAUGUCCCUUCUUCCCUCUCUUGUGAAACUAACAAUGUUGAGGGGAAAACUUUGCACUUUCAUGGAGGCUAUGAGAGCAUCACAUGUCCAUCUUACUUCUCUGCUGUUGUUACUACUCAGCCGAGCAGGCGCUUUUUUCCCUACUUCAAAAAUUAUGUAUGCACAGCACACCAGUCUAGUUGCACACAGGAAUACUUUAAUCAACCAAGAAACUAGAGGCACAGGUGAAUCUGAUAUGGUUUCCCCCUGACUUUGUCAAUUUGACAGGAGAAUAGGGGAGUAGGAGGAAACCAUGAAGGAACUAGCAGUAUUGCAGGCACAUACAGGGCAGUCUGGCUGGUAUUUAGGAUAGGAAUGUGGAGAGAUGCCUUCUGAAGGCAUGUGACAUUUCAGGCAGGAAAAUAAUGGUGAUAUGUUCAUUAACUGAAAGGGAAGGUUGCCAUAUCAAAAUUAAAACAGAUUAAAAUGCACAUGCAAUUUUGACCCUAGAAAGGAUGAAAUAAAAUUAUCCAUUAGAUGCUAAACAUGUUGACAUGGAAGCAAGUCUCAAUGCUUCAGUGCAACUUGCUUUCAAGUAUGUGCUAAACUAUUCUUACGGGGUCUCUGUCCUCUGUCUUCCUUUCCAUCUGUUAUUUUUAUACUCAGGGCUUCUGUCGAGGCUCAAAAGGAACAAAUAUUAAUUCAUUGCAAAAUCAGUUUCAUGCAAUGUUGGGCUCAAGGAAACCUAUGAGGGCUCAUUCUAUCCUUUGCUUCCUAUCAUUGCCUUUUCUGUGGUUGUUUGUUGACAGCAAGAGCUAUCUUUAAGAGCCAGAGUGUCUGAUCGCCAAGGAUUUGUGAGGAAUGGCGAAGCCCCCAGUGUCCUAACACAAAGACAGCUUACUGAUUUACUGCUACCCUCUGAAGAAGAGCUUCUCCACUUUUCCCAUCUUGGAACAGUCAAGGCAUUAAUUUUCACUUCAGUUGCUCUCUGUUCUGAACUGCAGGCCCAAAGCAGGGCUCGGGGGAGGGGUUGGGUACAAGGAUACCAAAGAAGGAUGUCAAAAACAUUAGAAUGGCCAAUUCUACUGCUUUAUUAAAGAAGAUGUAGACUUAGCAGCAAAGCAGCCUGCUAGGCCUCCCAGCCUUUAUAGACGCAGGAUGGACACCAAAGCAAGGUGAUUGCUUGUCCACACCCAAACAAAUGUGCCUAUGUUCUUUAUACGCAAAGCAGCGUAUGUCACUUUGUCUAGGACAUCCCAUCACUUCUCCUGACCAGAUGAGGGCAUAGGCAGCAACUACCCAAGUCUUACAGAUGGUUCCCUUUCUGGUCUCAGAACCCAGCACCCCAAGCCCACAGAUAGGAGUAUUUGCAUUGAACUUCCCUCUUUAACCUAAUACAGCUCUGUGCAUGCCAGUCUGAUGGUAAUUGCCUUCUCUUCUCUGUAACUGGCAUUAGGGUCUUCUUAGCGCUAUCCAAAGGUCAAAUUUAAAUACUGCCAGUUUCUUUGACAAACUGCAUAGCAAUCAAUCUUCCGUUUUUGUAAUAUACCUUCCUUGACACUGUGAUUGCUAAUUCCCUCUGGUACAAGUAUAAUAUAUAUGUAAUCUGCCUUGUACACAGUGACUGAACUAAUGAUCUGACCGCUCUUCCUCCUGCAUAUGUGCAUCUCCCUAAUGUGUGUAGACAAGGGAUUCAGUUAUACAGCUGCAAAUACAACAUUUUAAGUGUUUUUUAAGUGAAAUAUACAAAAAAAAUUUUAAAUUAUCUCCCCCCCCCCCAGUAUGGAAAAUAUUAUGCCAAAUGUAAUAUCCGGACUGCAACAUGGCAUUCAUUGCCACUUUUUGGAGGCACUCACUGAUAUUUAACAAUAUUCUGCUGAAAUUGCUAGCUAGCUCCUUUUAUCUUCUCAAACUGAAAAGGGCAUUUCAACAAAUAUAUGGCACUGGCUGUCAUAUAUGAGAGAAAAUCUAUAAAGCAGAGGGAGAGGGGAUUUUCUACCAGGGAAUAAAAAGAAAUGUGGUUCCAAAGUGGUGUUAUGCUCAGUAGAAUGAACAUGAUGAAAAUUACUAAUUGGAAAAGUGAAAUGUUCUGGCUCUCACUAGGACAGACUGAUGGGUAGAGUCAUGUGCAGGGACUGCAAAGUGCCUGUAGAAAGGAAUUCUGCACACAUAAGGAUUCAGCUUCCUGAGCAGCUUUUGUUUUUACAGUCCUGCCUGGAAGCAACUUCUGGCAAUAUCAAUUAGCUAAACCAAUGCAAACAUGGGCUGAUUGAACAAUGGUGGCAGGUUAUUAUCAUCUGCUUAGACAUUCUUGUUCUGGUGACCGCUUUCCAUCUUUUGGGUGAUGAAAGUAAGUGUACUUUUCUAUACAGUAUAAGUCUGGUUAUGAUUCAGCUGAAUAUGAUUCACAAAGGUGUUUAGUUUAUUAGACUUAUGAUGUACCUGUUCAAUACACCUUGGGGGAAAAUGAGCAUUAAGUAGUUAUUUUAAAACCACAGUUCCAUCUAUCCAUAAUACAGUGGUACCUCGGGUUACAGAUGCUUCAGGUUACAGACGCUUCAGGUUACAGACUCUGCUUGUUGAAUGGUUUAAUAUGUAAAGGUUCAUCAUUGUUCCACUCGAUGUGUAUGUCUUUAAGGGGCCAGAGAAAGGGCCAGAGCAAAAUAACGAGACCCAGCUUUACAGCUGUGAAACAUAGCAGGUGCUGCUGAGUUGUAUUGAUUAAGCUGUGUUGGUAAUUGGGUGUAGUAUAUAAGGAGCAGCACCUAGCUCUCCCAUUACCCUGGGGGAUGGGUUGGUGGUUGGGUCAUGUUUGUUUGUUAAUGUAUUUAGUGUAAAAGGAGUUUUUGUUUUUCUUAUUAAAACCUUGUUUAAGUUAUUUUUGAGUCCCUUUUUAAUGCAUGGUCUCCCCAGCAAGCUCUCUGCAGCGCUACCAUACUGCAAAAGCCAACAUCUUUGGUUAUGGGCCCAGCUGCUGAGUGGAUGACUGCGUAUUUUGGACUCUGAGAAAGGUUUGAAAACUCCUUCUCCUGUUAGCGUAGUUCUGUGGGUCUGGAAGAGUUCCAGAAUGGUUGACCGGGUUCCUGAAGCUGAGAAGGCUCUGGUCUUCCCACAGCUGACAGAUGAGAACUAUAGUUUAUGGUCUUUUCGGGUGGAGGCGCUUUUGACCUCUAGAGAAGUAUGGACCUAUGUAACUGAUGACCCUCCUGACCCUGUGACUAAUGCUUGGUCGAAAGGAGAUGCGAAAGCCAGGGCGAUAAUUAAUUUGGCAGUCAGCGACCAGCAAGUAGUCUAUAUAAGAAAUAAGAAAACUGCCAAAGAAAUGUGGGACAGUCUUGCAGCAGUGCAUGUUAGAAAAGAGUCAGCGUCUGCAUUGACGUUUUCAAGCAGUUGUACCAGACGAAGUUGCAGCCUGGUGGUGAUUUGGCAGCACACUUGAGACGUCUGGAGGCAAUACGCGGCGAAUUAAUUCGAAGGGACAUGGAGAUACCUGAUAUUCAGUAUGUUUUCAUCAUCCUUUGUUCCCUUAAUGAGGACUUUGAUGGUAUAGCUAGCCAGAUAUCUGCCGUUCCACCAGCACAAUUAACUGUGGAAGGGGUAACGGCAAGAUUAAUGGGCGAGUUGGACAGAAGGGAGGCUUGUGCCAUAAGCACUCCUAUUUCCAGAAAGAAUGAGGAACGCCAUAUGCAAACUUGUGGUGAUACAACUGCAUUUAAAGCUGCAAAGCGUUGUUGGUUCUGCAAUAAGCAAGGACAUUUUGCAAAGGACUGCAGAUCCAAAAGAAAGCAAAGUACUCCCAAGUCUGUUUCUGUUCGUCAGUCACGGUCGUCAGCUCAGCAGCCGGCAUCGUACCGUAAAGACAGAAACGAGCCGCGAGCUUUUCACGCUAGCACAAGAGAUCGUAAAAGAAUUAAAGGUGCCAAGUGGAAUUCUUUUAUUGUGGACUCAGGAGCAUCUCAGCACGUUUGCAACGAUCGAAGCUUGUUUAUUUCUUUCGAAGAGGAAAUUGGUAAUGUACAUUUAGCCAAUUCACAAGUCUUGCAGUCGCUUGGCAGGGGUACUGUUAAACUUGACUCUUUAAACAUUACUAUAGCGAACUGCAUUUACUGCCCAUCAGUGGACAAUUUAUUGUCAGUAAGGUGUUUUGCUCGUCAAGGCAUAACUGUGCGUUUCUUAAAGUCAAUGUGUGAGUUUUUCGAGGGGAACAAACGUCUAUUGUAUGCCCGGGAAUCUGAUGGUUUAUAUAGACUGUAUUUUCGCACCUACUCCCAAUCGCCUAUAAAUUGCAGAGCAGCACAGUCAAGCCAGGGGUUGAGGAAUGUAAGGCCACAUUCUGGGUGUGUCCAUGAGGCGCACAGAAUUCUGGGACAUCUGAAUUUUGCUGAUGUAAUUAAGACCAAGAAUAUUGUUAAUGGCCUCAACUUAAAACCAUGUAAAUUCUUUAUGCAAUGUCUAUCCUGUUGCAAGAAUAAGAUUAAGGUUGCACGCAAGGGUAGGUGCUCAGAUAGGAAAGUAACUGAGCCAUUUGAGCGUGUACAUUGUGAUUUAGUUGGGCCACUCCCACCAUCCUUAGGAGGUUCUAAGUACUGGCUUACCCUGAUAGACCAGUAUAGUAGAUAUUGUUGGACUUAUGCAAUAGCUGAGAAGUCCCAAGCAUUUGAGAAGUACAAAGUUUUUGCAACUGGGUAAAAACACAUUUUAACAAACCUAUUAAGAACCUUUUUUCUGACAGGGCGGGAAUUUGUUUCUGAGGAUUUUGAGAAAUUCCUGGAAGCGCAGGGGACUACUCAUGAGUUAUCUUGCCCCCGAAGUCCCUGGCAAAAUGGGCUUGUUGAAGUUGUGCAGCGUGACCUGCAGGCAGGGGUUAAAACUUAUCUGCAUGAUGCUAAUCUGCCCAAAGACUUUUGGGCUGAAGCGCUCAAUGCCUUUUGUUAUGUUAGAAAUCGCAGUUAUCAUUCUGGUUUAGAUGUCACCCUCUAUGAGAAGCUGUUUAAAAACGCCCUAAUCUGAAAUACCUACGCAUUUGGGGUUCAGAUGUAAUAAUGCAUUAUCCCGCUAAGCAGAAAUUGGGUGAACGUAGUGUCCAGGGAAAAUUAAUGGGCUACCAGCAGGGGGCGUACAGAAUUUACAUACCAGCAACUGGCAAAUUUCAUAUUACCAGAAGCAUGAUACAAACUGUAAAUUGGAAUGGUGUUGCUGUUUUCCAAGAUAGUAAUGGUAUAGAUAAUACUGAGGAAGAAGAGGUAGAAGAAGCAGCAGCAGCAGCAGGAAAUGGUGCUUCUGAAUUAAUGGAAGAAGACAAAAGCCUGUUGAAUCUGAUAAUUUCUUUGAUGAUUUAAAGUCACAGGCACCCGAGGGGAGGUUAGAUUCUCUUGAGUUUUCUGACCGUGAGCUUAGCCAACAGGCAUCUCUUCAGUCUGACAAUGAUGAUUUACAACCUGAAACUAGUAGUUUACAUAGUCCCAUUAAGUCUGAGGAGUCUGACUCUCCUUCCGGACUGAGACGUUCAGAUAGAAAGAGACAGAAGCCACAACGUUUUGCAGAUGAACAUUUUAAUACUGUGUAUGCCAAUAAGGCAGUUUUGAGCCAAAAAGCUACAAUGAUGUUCAGAAUUUACCUAAGCACCAAGCUGUAAAUUGGUAUAAAGCUAUGAACUCUGAAAUAGCUUCUUUAAAAGAGCAUAACACUUGGUCUCUUGUACCACAAACCCCAGAUAUGAGACUUAUUGAUUCAAAAUGGGUUUAUAGAGUUAAAAUGAAUGACAAAAAUGAAGUUGUAAGGUACAAGGCAAGAUUAGUUGCUAGGGGUUUUCAACAAAUUCCAGGCGAAGAUUAUGAUUUGUGUUAUUCACCAAGUGUAAAAUAUGAAACAGUUAAGCUUUUGUUAAAAGAUGCAUCACAACGUGGACAUUCUGUUUAUCACCUAGAUAUAAAAACUGCAUAUUUGUUUGCAGAUUUAAAAGAACAAAUUUUUAUGCGUGUCCCUGAAGGCAUAGACGCCGCUGAAGGUUUGGUAUGCAAAUUAAAUAAAUCCCUUUAUGGUCUGCACCAAAGUGGAAGGAAUUGGCAUCAAACUUUAGCAAAAGAAUUGCUGGAUAUUGGUUUUUCACAGGGAAAGGCAGACAAUUGUGUGUUUAUAAAGGAAAGGGCAAACUCUGUAGCAAAAAUAUGUGUCUAUGUAGAUGACGUGUUAAUUUCUACAAAAACUAAACAGGAAUAUGAACAGGUAGUAACACAGUUACAGAAGAAAUUUGAUGUGGUGGAAUUAGGCAUAGCUAAAAAUUACUUAUCCAUGCAAAUUGAGAAAGGCAAAAAUGGAUCUUUUCUGGUUCAUCAAACUGCAAAAAUUGACGAUCUUGUUGAAAUGCUAUGUUUAGAAAAUGCAAAUGGGAAGGAAACGCCCAUGGUGUGUGGUUUCACUUUUACAGGUGAAGAUAAGCCAUUUCCUAACAAAACUUUGUAUCGUUCUGCUAUAGGCAAGCUAAAUUUCAUUCAAAGAAUCUCAAGACCAGAUAUAACUUAUGCCUUUCACUUUCUGGCAAAAUUUGUGGAAAAGCCCACUACACAAUGUUUCUCUGCUCUUAAGAGAGUGGUAAUGUACCUUAAACAUACCAAACAUUAUAGGUUGCAGUUUACAACAUGUAUUGACAAAGGUUUUGAAAUUUUCUGUGAUGCAUCUCAUGCAGUGGAACAAAAUAAUUGCAGGGGUGUGUCUGGUAUGGUGUUUUGUUAUAAUGGUUGUCCAUUUGAAUGGAAGUCCCAGACACAAACCAUUAUUUGUCUCUCCACAACAGAGAGUGAAUUAUGUGCAUGUGUUCAGGCCACUCGUGAUGUGGAAUGGUAUCUGCAAGUAUUCGCAGACCUACAGAUGCAAGUAACACUACCAGUAAAAGUUUACCUUGAUUCCCAGAGUGGACUCGCUAUCCUAUGUUCAGAAACCAAUACGCAGCGCACUAAAGUCUUAAGAUUACGUUUACAGUUUGUAAAGAAACUAAUUGCUGAUGAAAUGGUUGUAUUUAAAUAUGUUCCAGGUGACAAUCAAAUUGCAGACAUUUUUACUAAAGCACUUCCAAAGGUAUACAUGAAAAACAUGUACAAAGUAUGCUUUAUGUUUUUGUUCCACAAUGAUGAACCGCAGGGGAAAUGUUGAAUGGUUUAAUAUGUAAAGGUUCAUCAUUGUUCCACUCGAUGUGUAUGUCUUUAAGGGGCCAGAGAAAGGGCCAGAGCAAAAUAACGAGACCCAGCUUUACAGCUGUGAAACAUAGCAGGUGCUGCUGAGUUGUAUUGAUUAAGCUGUGUUGGUAAUUGGGUGUAGUAUAUAAGGAGCAGCACCUAGCUCUCCCAUUACCCUGGGGGAUGGGUUGGUGGUUGGGUCAUGUUUGUUUGUUAAUGUAUUUAGUGUAAAAGGAGUUUUUGUUUUUCUUAUUAAAACCUUGUUUAAGUUAUUUUUGAGUCCCUUUUUAAUGCAUGGUCUCCCCAGCAAGCUCUCUGCAGCGCUACCAUACUGCAAUAAGCCAACACUGCUAACCCAGAAAUAUUACCUUGGGUUAAGAACUUUGCUUCAGGAUGAGAACAGAAAUCGUGCAGUGGCGGUGCAGCGGCAGCAGUGGGAGACCCCAUUAGCUAAAGUGGUGCUUCAGGUUAAGAACAGUUUCAGGUUAAGAACAGACCUCCAGAAUGAAUUAAGUUCUUAACCCGAGGUACCACUGUAUAUCUCUUUAGCCCUGCUGAGGUAUUGCUUCCUGCAAUCAGUUGGAGAUGGCACUUAAGUAGUGGUUCCACACAUAUCAAGCGAUCCUUCUCCAUGGCUAAGAUCCUUCUAUAAUGCUUACUCAGAAGUCUGUCCUCUUCAGUUAAGGUUCUUUUCAAUGUUAAUUAAAAGCUCCCUAUCCCUUUUAUUGCCUCCUGUUCCAUGUGGCUUUUAGGUUACUGAUGAACAGCCUGUUAAUUACAUCUGGAACAGUCACCUUCAUUGCCUAUUAAUAUCAGUUACUGUUUCCAUGGAGUGCACUUUAAAUACAGAAUUUUUCUUUCUUUCUGAAUUUAUAAAGCAAAAGAGUACUAUUUCACUAUAUAAAAAUGAAAAGUAAAAAAUGAUGAGAAGAAAUUGGUAAAAAUAUAAUCAUAAUUUAAAAAAUUAUUUAAAUAGAACACCAGUUCAAAGUAAAACAAUGCAGUAUCAGAUUCAGAAGGGAAAGUCCCCACAAAUCACGUUUGGUGGGGGAAAUAGAAACUUCAGAGUACAAACAUCUGGGAGUAAUAGUAUCUGGUUUCUCCAUAAAAGGGGGAGUGGAAAAAAGGCAAUUCCUUGCUAAACUGCCAGUGUGGCAUUUGUCUGUGUGUAUCCAUAAAGAAGGCUGAUCACCGAAGAAUUGAUGCUUUUGAAUUAUGAUGCUGGAGGAGACUUUUGAGAGUCCCAUGGACUGCAAGAAGACCAAACCUAUCCAUUCUGAAGGAAAUCAGCCCUGAGUGCUCACUAGAGGACAGAUCCUGAAGCUGAGGCUCCAGUACUUUGGCCACCUCAUGAGAAGAGAAGACUCCCUGGAAAAGAUCCUGAUGUUGGGAAAGAUGGAGGGAACAAGAAGAAGGGGAUGACAGAGGACAAGAUGGUUGGAUGGUGUUCUCGAAGCUACGAACAUAAGUUUGACCAAACUGUGGGAGGCAGUGGAAGACAGGAGUGCCUGGCGUGCUCUGGUCCAUGGGGUCACAAAGAGUUGGAUAUGACUAAACGACUAAACAACAACAAAAUCUAUCUAUAGCUAUAGUUUUUGCAGAGUGGAUUUAACAGACCUCCCAAUAUUUGACUGCCACUUCACAAUGCUUGUCAAAUUAAUCUGUCAAAAUCAGCUCUGAGUCUUAUAAUUCUGAACUGAAUUCAUAGCACAUGCAGGUGUAUGCAUGUGUCUGAAAUUAUCUCUUUCAUUUCAGAAAUGCCCACCUGUGGGCUUGUGUGUGCAUUGGACAUGCUCUUGACUCCACUUGGAAAUCUCAGAUAAUAGCAUUUGCACAAUGCUUUUGAGUUUCUAAGCAGGCACUCCACAUAUAUUAUCCUGUUUCUAAACCUUGCAACAAACCAAAGAGCUAGGUCAAUAUUAUUAUUCCUGUCUUGCAUAUGAAGAGGGCCAGGGCAUAAGCAAAGAGAGCACACCUUGCCUAAAGACACUAAGUGAGUUCCUGGUAGCGGUGGGAUUUUACAACAGGGACUUAUUGAAUCUUAGACACCUGCUUUACACCUAGGAACAUGCAACGAUUGGUUAGAACGUCAAAUAACAUAUGUUACACAAGCAAGGAUCAGUGCAACUAUUUGAAAGUCCCUUGGGUUUAGGAGUGGGUUGGAGUUGUUUUUGGAAAGAUGUAGAUACCUCAAUAACCAGAUCGCUAUCAAUUUUUUCAAUAGGUGGCAGUGUUCUCCUACUUUCAUACCUCGAUGGCAGAUUUCACAGCAGAAAAAACCCCCAUGAAGAUAAUGGCCUGGAUCCAAACUACCACAUAACAAAUGUGUUGUUCUGUUACAAUAUGCUCUAGGUGGAGCUGCCUUUGAAGAUCUGAAAACUAUAGCUGGUUCAGAAUGCCGCUGCCAGACUGUUGAUAUGUGGUGCGUAUGAGCAUUUGACUCCAUUGCUAUUUAAUCUGCUUUGCAUCCUGGUGCGUUUCUCAGCCCAAAUCAAAGUGCUACUGGUUAUCUUUAAAGUUUAAAGACAACAAGUGGUACUUUGAAUUCCGCUCAGAAACACAGAAGGAGCCACUGCAAAGCUAAAUGAUUUGCGUCUGGAAUACCUAAAAGUCUGGUUGCGCCUACAUGGCUCUGUCUAUCUAUUAAGCUCUUAUGAGGAGACUCUGGACCACACCUCAAUGCUGUCUGAGGUGUGCUUGUUGGUUAUGGGGGACAAGUCUUCUCAGUGGUGGAUCCUGAGGUCUGGAAUCUUCCUCAAAAGGUUUGUUCAGCCCUUCCCUCCUAACCUUCAGGGAAACAGCCUUGUUUAGAAAUGCCUUUUAUAUAGUUUUGUUUUUAAACAAAUUACUUGUGGUUUUAAAUUGAUGCUAUUGUUUUGUUCUGUUUACAACCUGUUUUGGGGACUCCAUUUGGAGUAAAAAGAAGGAUAUGGCUAUAUGAAUAAAUGAAAUAAAUGAACGACUUCUGCACUCUUAAGGGUGUGUGUGUGUGUGUGUUUCUCAUAUAGCAGGUGGUGUGAACUUUUGGUCCUUUUGGCCAUGCUUGCUGAAGCUGAUAGGAGUUGUAGUUUAGCAACAUCUGGAGGGCCAAAGGUUCCCCACACCUUUCAUACAGUAUAUGAGGGAAUGGUUGUAACUCAGGGGUAGAGCUUUGGCCUGGCAUGCAGAAGGCCCAAGUUCAUUCCCAGGCAUCUUCAAGUAGAGGUGGGAAAGAGUCCUGCUUGAAACUCUGGCCAGCG
rnacentral:lncRNA from 1 species